AGAUCGUACCCUAAACCGACACAGGUGGAUAGGUAGAGAAUACUAAGGCGCUUGAGAGAACUCGGGUGAAGGAACUAGGCAAAAUGGCACCGUAACUUCGGGAGAAGGUGCGCCGGUGAGGGUGAAGGACUUGCUCCGUAAGCUCAUGCCGGUCGAAGAUACCAGGCCGCUGCGACUGUUUAUUAAAAACACAGCACUGUGCUAAAUCGAAAGAUGACGUAUACGGUGUGACACCUGCCCGGUGCCGGAAGGUUAAUUGAUGGG
rnacentral:rRNA from 1 species